GAUCACCUGUCAGAGCCUUUGUUAGUUCUGCUGGUAUAAAUGACUCGAAGUGUAAUCUGUACAGGGGACAGAUUAGGUCCUUCAUUGUGUUCCACUCUGGCUCUCGCACUGCACUCUCCUUUCUUUCAUGUGGGAAAUUAUAAAGAUUCACCUAAAUUUUUAUUAUUAUUUUUUUAAUCAUAGCCGAUAAUGACACAGUGUUGCAUUAUCUAAUAUUACACCAGUUUGACUGGUGUGAUAUCAUAUUGCGAUAUCAACGCAAUAUGAUAAACAUUAACUCAGGAAAAGUUAGCCUUCCAGUGUUUCCUCUGUAGACUCCAGUACAGAAUGGACCAAAACAUGCCAUCAACCCAUUGGAGAAAAAAUGGCGACCUCCAUGGGUGAAAACUAUAA